UACGUAGGGUGCAAGCGUUGUCCGGAAUUAUUGGGCGUAAAGAGCUCGUAGGCGGCUUGGCAAGUCGGGUGUGAAAACUUCAGGCUCAACCUGGAGAUGCCACUCGAUACUGCUAUGGCUAGAGUCCGGUAGGGGACCACGGAAUUCCUGGUGUAGCGGUGAAAUGCGGCAGAUAUCAGGAGGAACACCGGUGGCGAAGGCGGGAUCCUGGGCCAGUACUGACGGCUGAGGAG
rnacentral:rRNA from 1 species